rnacentral:rRNA from 1 species
GGUCGAAAGGGGAAAUUCAUUCGCGUCUCAGCUGUUGGAGUCGGACGUUCGUGUGACGGAUCGGAGGUUCGCCUCUGGUCUGCGCCUUUCGUUCUUCUAACCGACGUUGAACGCGUGCACUUUUCCCCUAGUAGGACGUCGCGAUCCGUUGGGUGUCUGUCUAAGACUUGGAGUGGAGCCCACGUGGCAUUUUGUCAUGUGGACCUUCGAUGUUCCGACAGACUCGCUCGACGGUAUGCUAAUGGCGCGGGGCCGCUACUCAGUUAGCGUUCGGCCCGUAGCAAGCACGUUCUGUGUUUGACGGCGAUCGGACCUAGUGCCGAUUCUGUCCCAGAACGACUGUUGGUUGCGGUGUUCUCGAACAGACCUCGU